CCUACGGGAGGCAGCAGUGGGGAAUUUUGCGCAAUGGGCGAAAGCCUGACGCAGCAACGCCGCGUGCAUGUUGAACCCUUCGGGGUGUAAAAUUCUGUCAAUCGGGGCAAAUUUUUACUGUACCUAUACAGCACUCCCCGGCUACCUCCGUUCCAGCCGCCACGGGAAUACGUGGGGUGCAAGCGUUGUCCGGAAUCAUGGGGCGUAAAGCGUUCGUAGGCGGCAAGGUAAGUCUGAUGUUAAAGCCCGGGGCGCAACGCCGGGUCUGCAUUGGAGACUAGCGAGCUAGAAUGUGGGAGAGGUAAAGGGAAUUCCUGGUGUAGCGGUGAAAUGCGUAGAUAUCAGGAGGAACAUCGGUGGCGAAAGCGAUUUACUGGAACAUGAUUGACGCUGAGGAACGAAAGCGAGGGGAGCAAAUGGGAUUAGAUACCCUUGUAGUC
rnacentral:rRNA from 1 species